rnacentral:misc_RNA from 1 species
GCCCGUACCUCCACCUGCCUACCGAACACCAAGAAGCGAAAGCAACAACCGAAAGGCGACAUCGUGGUCGAGACGAACAUCAAAAGCGACGCCUUCAAGAAGGGAGUGACGUCGAGGACGCCAUCGUCGCAUGUCCGAGAUGGACCAGGCUUUUGCCCAUGGAAGACAGUGCUGGAGAAUGUGACGCCCUCAAUAGGGGAAGCGACGCCCACAGGCAUCACCGUCGCCGAGGCUUUCGCCCAAGAAGCCCCCAACACAAUGUCAGGCCAAGACCCUGGUCAAAGCAAGCAACCUCCAUCGUCGCCGUUGUCUUGACACCUCACACAAACCCUUCUAGAGGGGCGACGACGCGUCGGCUACCACAACAGCCGCAAAGAUGCGUCAGUUGCCAUCCCCUCUGGCUGGGCACACGAAAACCGAG